AACAUCAGCAGCAAAACCAUGUCACAUGCUCUUGAGGCUCUUGGAGAACUGAGGAUUGCCAGCUUCAACCAGUCACAACUGCAGGAUGAGAAUUUUAUCCGCAGCUGGUUCCAGACAAAGAUGCGUCCAUUUUUGGCCUCCCCAUCCUCCAAUUUCCUGAUCUGCCUCAGCUCCAACAAUUUCAGCUGCCAGACAUACCAGAUUGUCAUUCAGGCAUUCAGCAGCCAAAGGGCGUUCAUGGACAAAGACAGGCGUCAAGCAGUCUUCACUCAUUUCAUCAAACCAUUCCUGUCAAGAAAUGACUCCUCAGGUAACUACGGCACUUGGGCUCAGUUUGGUAAUGUCUUGAGUGGUAGUAACACCUUUUUGGUCACUCUUUCCCUCUUUUUCGCAGAUCCGGGCUGUGUCUCAUCUACUAGAGACAGUAAAGAGUGGCUAAGGGCAAACUUUGGUAGUUUCCCUGACUUUGCAAUGCUGCAGGACCUGCAUGCACUCAAUCCCAACUUCUCCAGUGUGGAACUGCUGUCAGAACUCACGCCUUCACAGGUGGCACAGUUAAUACUGAGCUCAGGUGCCUUGAAUGACACAGACCUAAUCGAUGGUGUCUUUGAUCGCCUUGAGGACGGCAAUGCUCUGGAAAACGUGGAUGAAUUCCUG
rnacentral:lncRNA from 1 species